rnacentral:rRNA from 1 species
CCUACGGGUGGCAGCAGUGGGGAAUAUUGGACAAUGGGCGAAAGCCUGAUCCAGCCAUGCCGCGUGUGUGAAGAAGGCCUUCGGGUUGUAAAGCACUUUCAGUGGGGAAGAAAGCCUUGGGGCUAAUACCCUCGAGGAAGGACAUCACCCACAGAAGAAGCACCGGCUAACUCCGUGCCAGCAGCCGCGGUAAUACGGAGGGUGCGAGCGUUAAUCGGAAUUACUGGGCGUAAAGCGCGCGUAGGCGGUCUGAUAAGCCGGUUGUGAAAGCCCCGGGCUCAACCUGGGAACGGCAUCCGGAACUGUCAGGCUAGAGUGCAGGAGAGGAAGGUAGAAUUCCCGGUGUAGCAGUGAAAUGCGUAGAGAUCGGGAGGAAUACCAGUGGCGAAGGCGGCCUUCUGGACUGACACUGACGCUGAGGUGCGAAAGCGUGGGUAGCAAACAGGAUUAGAUACCCUAGUAGUC